UGUAUUUUAUUCUCAGAGGUUAUGGCUGUGUUGUAUGGUCUAAUACCAUUCCAAUGAGCAGAGACAUACCAACAGAGAUGUACUGUGACUCAUAUUGGUGGUGAAUAAUGAGUAACUCGCCAUGGUAACUCAGCAGCAAUGGUGCUCUCAUGCACUUCUAUGCAUAAGGUCAUGGGUUCGAUUCCUGGCUGCUGUGGUGACAUUUCGAUGUAUGGGAGUUUGAAAAAAAGAGAGAGAGGGAGAGUUUUAACAAAAUGUCAGCUAACGCUGCCAUUUGAAAGAAGGCCUUUCCCAUAUCUCGUAUAUGGGUCAUUUCUGAAGAGGAUUGGGCGUCAGAAUUCCAGAAUUCCAAUACCGAUCUCCACAAUGAUUGAAAUCAGGACGCUGAUCCUAAGUAUGGAGUUCUUGUUCUGCUGUUCUGUUUCAAGACAAGGUGACCACAAGGGGUGCCUCACAAAAAGAACUGCUUAAGACCAGUCACGUCUGUGUUGCUUACCCGAACAAAGUGUUAUUAAUCUCGAUAGGCGAGAAAAUAAUGCGAGAACCACUUAGCAAUGUCAUAAACAGUCACAAAGUCAUACAAAAAAUAUGGGACGAAGAUUCAUGUGCGGGCCGCGGGCAAAAGGACCGGUGGACCACGUGUUUGAGACCCCCGACUUAGACUAAUGUUGAGCACAGCUCAGCUAAUGGAUCGCGAGUUAAUUUGAACCAGUUUCUGUAUUUACUAAUGGUAAUCGGAUACAAUGGACACAUUUUUGCUUUAUGCAAGGUUCCAAGUACCAAAGGAUCAGCUAUAAUAUGAAUUGACAAUAUGGCUGUUGAUGCCCUAACAUUUGUAAUCUGCUUUCUAUGUAAUGACCCUGCAUUUAAUUAUGUAAACACAUUGACCUCUGAUAUCUUUGUCACCUUUGUAGAAACACCAGUAGACUCGUGUUAAUAUAUACUGAAAAAGUAGAAGUGUUGGUUUUAACAAUCGGGAAUAGUGACAAUUAAUCAGCACAUUGAUGUUGUUUGAGAUUGUUUCUGUUUCGAUCUCUUUUCACAUUGUGCAUUCAAUAAAAUUCGGUGAUUCAUGGAUGAUGGCAGGUUCGGAAAGCUAUGUCUUAUUUCAGCAGCAGAACGGAAAAUAAUAAGUAUAACAUUAAGAGAAUGGAAGACAGCAGAACCAGUAUCCUAGUCGACACUAAGAGGGAAAAAAAGAUUGAGCUAAGCAUGUAAUGUAAGCACAUAGGACAGGUGACUGGUGGUCAGUUAGAAUGACGGAGUGGGAACCAAAGGAUGGAAAGCAUAGCUGAGGAUUGCAGAAAGUUAGGUUUAGUAAUGACCGUAGGAAAUUUGAAUGUAUAAAAUGGAGUCAGCUUGCGUAAAAGAGGGUUAAUUGAAGGCCUUUGGGAGAGGCCUCCAAUCCUGCAGUGGCCAUGAUGAUAACUGUCUUCUGUAGUUGCUAUGCAAGUUCUUAUGCUAUUUGUCUCGUAAACAAUCUCUAUUUGACUGUUUUUGGGCACUUUGCCCCACCCAGUUCCUUUCCAUAUUGUGUGCUAGAUGGGUUUAUACUGAGUGGCAAAUUUCUUGCUUUCCUUCAAAGUGGGAAGCUAAAAAGUUCUAAUAAACUGUUGAUACCAUUAAGUGCCUUCAAGAUGCUUUAAGAAUGACAUUAAUUGACUAGCGUUGCUUGAAUUAACUGGAAUGAUUUGUUUGAAUUAUUGCAUCUACUGUAGAUUGCAAUGUCAAGCAAGCUCUGAAGUUGCUACUGUGUUGAAAUGUGUGUUAGCCCAGAACUCCCAACAUUUUGUAUGGGAAGAGAGCAUUGAGAGAAAUCCAAGUCAUUUGAGCCUGCUUAUUUUCUUAUGUAUAUUGCAGGCAUUUGUGCUAUUAUGCUUGUCAAUAAAAUGAUUUACCAGCCAA
rnacentral:lncRNA from 1 species